AGUGAACGCUGGCGGCGUGCCGUAACACAUGCAAGUCGAACGGAAAUACAGAAGGAAGUUUCGGAUGGAAUUUGUAAUUUAGUGGCGGACGGGUGAGUAACAACGUGGGUAACCUGCCCUGUACCGGGGGAUAACAGUUGGAAACGGCUGUUAAUACCGCAUAAGCGCACAGCUCCGCAUGGAGCAGUGUGAAAAACUCCGGUGGUACAGGAUGGACCCGCGUCUGAUUAGCUUGUUGGCGGGGUAACGGCCCACCAAGGCGACGAUCAGUAGCCGGCCUGAGAGGGUGAACGGCCACAUUGGGACUGAGACACGGCCCAGACUCCUACGGGAGGCAGCAGUGGGGAAUAUUGCACAAUGGAGGAAACUCUGAUGCAGCGACGCCCGCGUGAGCGAUGAAGUAUUUCGGUAUGUAAAGCUCUAUCAGCAGGGAAGAUAAUGACGGUACCUGACUAAGAAGCCCCGGCUAACUACGUGCCAGCAGCUGC
rnacentral:rRNA from 1 species